rnacentral:lncRNA from 1 species
CUUUUUUAAGGAGUUAAAGAUCUAAUUUUGCUGUGUGGCCGGAUUUUCUUACUACUUGCUCUUCUUACUUUAAUUAUUUCUGUGACUACCUCAUGGCUUAAUUCAUUUAAAUCUUCCCAAGUGUAUCUGAAAGGUAAGUUUAUUGUUUAUGCUACCCUUUUAUAAUUUUCUACUCUUUAGAGUAUUUUAUUUAUUUAUUUAUUCUAGGAUUUUGCAUAAUUAGAACCAUUUACUGUUAAUUUGUGACAUAUAAUUUCAGCUGAUCAUUACUUUAGUCUUGAUUUUUAAUGGACUAUAAAUCCCAACAUUUUUAUGGGAAAUUGUACAUUAUCCUUGUAUACACAUUUGAAAUGAUAGCAUUUCUAUAUUGAUACAUUGCAAAUUCUCUGAUUUUAAGUUGUGCAGUUUCAUUGUUCUUUGAGGUUUAUGUUUUCAGUUUAUAAACUAUUCAACAAAUGGUCAUGUUUUCUACCGUUAAUCUGUAGAGGCUUUUCAACCUAAUUUAUUUUUCCUUUCACUUUGGCAGUUUUUGUUUACAUACUUACCUAUAGAGUUAAGUGCUUACUCUUAAUUUUAGGAAACCAUGCUUGUUCUUAUUUUAUGUUUGAUAAGCAAAAAAUUUUACUGUAAUUUUGGUAAGUAAAAAUUUGUCAAAGCCUUUGACAAUGUUAAAAGUGUUAGAAGCCUUUUAAAACAAUAUUGUAGUUCACUUCAGAAAAGAUGAAUCCUAAAACUAAAGCCUAAAUUUUUACAUCCUUUUACAAAGAAGCUUGCCAAUAGUGAUUUUGGUACAUUGUGUUUCAUUUUGCUACUUAUUUAAAUGUAAAUAAAUGACAGGAAAAUAAGCAGUGCUUAAUUUAUAGCCUUUCCAAAUUAACCAUGAAUAUAACCAUAAUCCUAAAAGGUUAUACUGUUCAACCCAAACAUAAAAGGCAAUCUAGAUGUUUUAGGGUCUCUCAAUCAUAGAUUUUUGAAAUUCUUUUCUUCUUUUGGUAAUUAUUUGAUGUCUUAUACUUCAAAUUAUCCAUUGGAAAAUUAAAUAAGAGCAUUGUAACUUCUCUUGGAAAUUUCGUGUUAAGUGCAUUUAACAUCAGGAGGAUAUUUGCUGCAGGCAUUAAAUGGUCAAAUAUUCUAUAUUUUAUAAAUAAGGGAAACGUGUAUUUGACAUAGUUUUUGUAGUUUAAAUUGUACCUUUUUAUCAUUGGAGUGUACAUCAUUCUGGUACAUUUACGGAUUAAUGAUUUUGAGACAUAGUCAUCACUGAAGGCUAAAACUAUUUAAGAAGUAAUUAAGACUAUGUAAAGUGCUUAAUUAUUGUCAGAUUUCCUUUAAAUGAGUAAAAAAUCCGCAUAUUUAUACGCUUUGUAUCUUCCCUAGUGUCAUCAGAUAUUGAGAUACCAGACUUCAGAUUCAUCCAAAACUUUAAUCCUCCAUGUUUUGUAAAGAUUUGCAUGAUGAAGUGUAUCACAAGUUCAGAAGCAGUCAGUUCUCAGUGGCUUUAAGGAUUAAAGACCUUUGGGGAACCUAUUUGGCUCAGUCAGUAGAGCAUGUGACUCUUGAUCUCAGGGUCAUGAGUUCAAGUCCCAUGCUGGGUGUGGAGCCUACUUAAAAAGAAAAAAGGGAUUAAAGCCCCUUAAUCACCUGCUAUUGACUUAUUUAGAAACUAUAUUCUUUGAUUCAGAGUCAGAAGGGGAGUCUUAAGAUCACUAAGUCUAACUCAUCACAUAGCAAGUUAGUGGCCAGACUAGACCUUCUGCUUUCCUAUGUGCUUUGCUGCCCUAAUCUUUCCUUAAUAAACUUGAGGAUAUAUUUAUUGCCAGGAGAGAAAGUUGUUGACAGAAAGGAACACUCCUAUUUAAGGAGCCAGGCAGGUUAAAGGAUGUAUUUUCCAAAAAGAUGUCUAAUUCCUCAAGGGAAUACAGUUAAAUGAAAUUAAUUCAAAUGAAACUUAGUGUACCUAGAAUAAAAAAGGUUAUACAACAGCAAAUAUUCUUUCUCUUGCCAUUCAGUGGCUAAUAACCUAAUAUUGGUUCAGUCAUGGGAGUUUCCAAGCAAGGAAGCAAGGCAUGUUGCUUAUAUGUGUGUAUGAAUUUUUUUAAAGCUUUUUUUUUUUUUUUGAGAGAGAGAGAGUGGGGGAGACGUAGAGAGAGAGGGAGAGAAGGAAUCCCAAGUAGGCUCCACACCAUCAGUGCAAAGCCUGACUUGGGGCUCAAAUCCACGAACUGUGGGAUCACCUGAGCCGAAACCAAGAGUCAGAGGCUCAACCCACUGAGCCACCCAAGUGCCCCGUGUGUUUUUUUUUUUUUAAAGUAGGCUCCAUGCCCAAUAUGGGGCUUGAACUCAUGACCCUGGGAUGAAGUCAGAUGCUCUACCCACUGAGCCAGCCAGGUGCCCCUUUAUUUAUUUUUAAAAGACUUUAUUUUUAAGUAAUCUGUAUACCUAAUGUGGGGUUCAAACUCACAACCCCGAGAUCAAGAGUCACACAUGGGGCGCCUGGGUGGCUCAGUUGGUUUAGCAUCCAACUUCAGCUCAGGUCAUGAUCUCGCAGUUUGUGAGUUCGAGCCCCACAUCGGGCUCUGCUGAGAGCUCAGAGCCUGGAGCCUGCUUCAGAUUCUGUGUCCCCCUCUCUCUCUGCCCCUCCCCUGCUCACACUCUUGUCUCUCUUUCAUUCAAAAAUAACUAAACAUUUAAAAAAAAAAAAGAGUUGCACACUCCACUGACUGAGUUAACCAGGCGCCCAGGUAUGAUGCUUUUACUGUCAUGUCAAGGGUGACCAAAUGGCACACAUGCCUAUAGGGCAGCAUUCUCCACUUCAUGUGCAGAAAUGGGCUUUCAUGCCAUGUCUUGGAGCUGCUGAAGCCCUAGCAUGAAAAAUCCAAUAUAAUCAUUCUUGAAGCCUCCUCACCAAAACUAUGACAUAUGAUAUUAAUGAAUGUUAGAGAAUUUUUGUUUCAGAACAGACUGUUUCUUACAGAUUUUACUUGUGGAUUUCUGUGUUUGAACUGUCUGCAUGUACCUCAUUUUCAUCGUUUGAAAAACAGUCUGUUUUUUGAAGGCUUGUCUCUCCCAAAAUGUUAUCUACAGACUACUUUCAGAGAAAACAGCAUUCAACUUACAAUAUUUGGGAAUUAAAAAGCAUUUUUAUGUUUUGAUGUCUUAGAAGAAGAAGAGAAGAAUGAAAAAAGGCAAAAACUUGUCAGGAAAAAACAACAAGAGGCACAGGGUGAAAAGGUAAAGCAUAAUUUUUAGAGAGUAUAUAUAAAGAGAAUACAGAACAUCUUGGGGCAUUUAAAAUCGAGGUCUGUUGCUUUCUGCAUUUGUGCUUGGACUUUUUUUUUAAGUUUAUUUAUUUUGAAAGAGAGAGAGAACAUGCUCACAUGUGAGAGUGGGGGGCAGGGUGCAGAGAGAGAGGAGAGAGGUAAUCCCAAACAGGCUCUGUGUUCUCAGUGCAGAGCCUGACUGGGGGUCAAACUCACGAACUGUAAGAUCAUGACUUCAGCUGAAAUCAAGAAUCAGAUGCUUAACUGACUAAGCCACCCAGGUGCCCCAUGUGCUCAGAUUUUUUAAUUAUUGAGGUCAAAUUCACAUGACUUAAAAUUAACCAAUUAAAAAAAAUUAACCAAUUUAAAAUGUACAAUUCAGUGGCAUUUAGAACAUUUGCAGUAUUAUGCAAUCACUACCUCUCUCUAGUUCCAAAACAUUUUCUUUACCCCAAAACAAGACCCCGUACCUAUUAAAUAGUCACUUCUCCAUUCCCACUCCUGUCCUUUGGCAACUAGGUCUGCUUUCUGUUUAUAUGGAUUUAUGUAUUCUGGAUAUUUCAUUUGAGUGGAAUCACAUAAUAUGUGACCUUUUGUGUUUGCCUUCUUUCACUUAGAAUAAUGUUUUCUGGGGUUCAUCCAUAUACAUGUAUCAGUACCUCAUUCCUUUUUUGCAGGUAAAUAAUAUUUCAUUGUAUGGAUGUAUCAAAACUUGUUUAUCAGGGGCGCCUGGGUGGCUCAGUCGGUUAAGCGGCCGACUUCGGCUCAGGUCGUGAUCUCGCGGUCCGUGAGUUCGAGCCCCGCGUUGGGCUCUGUGCUGACAGCUCAGAGCCUGGAGCCUGUUUCCGAUUCUGUGUCUCCCUCUCUCUGACCCUCCCCCGUUCAUGCUCUGUCUCUCUCUGUCUCAAAAAUAAAUAAACAUUAAAAAAAAAAUUAAAAGAAAAAAACUUGUUUAUCAGUUCAUUUGCUGAUGCACAUUUAGGUUGUCUCCACCUUUGGGCUGUUGUGAAUAGUGCUGCUAUGAAUAUUUGGACACAUUUCUUUGAGUACCUGUUUUCAGUUCUUUUGGGCAUAUAUAUAUAUAGGAGUGGAAUUGCUGGGUCAUCUGGUAAUUCUGUGUUUACCUUUUUGAGGAACCACCAAACUGUUCUCUACACCAGCUAUUCCAUUUUAUAUUCUCACCAAUUUCUGAGGGUCCCAAUUUCUCCAUUUCCUCACGGACAUAUAUUUUCCCACCCCCACCUCCUUUUAAAUAUUCAUUGUAGUGGCGCCUGGGUGGCUCAGUUGGUUAGGUGUCUGACUCUUGAUUUUGGCUCAGAUCUUGAGGUUCGUGAGUUCAAGCCCUGUGUCCCUGCCUGGGAUUUUCUCUCUCUGCCUCUUUCUCUGCCCCUCCCAUGUACUCUCUCUCUCAAAACAAUAAAUUCUCAUUGUGAUGAGCAUGAAGUGGUAUCACAUUGUGGUUUUGAUUUGCAUUUCCCUAAUGACUAAUAAUGUUGAAUGUCUUUUCAUAUGCUUGCUGGAGAAUGUCUAUUCUUAUGUCUUCUCUGCAGAAAUGUCUGUUCAAGUUCUUUGCCCAUUUUUGGGUUGUGUUGUCUUUUUUUUUUUUUUAAUGAGAGUUCUUUAUGUAUUCUGGAUACUAGACUCUUAUCAGAUACAUAAUUUCCAAGUAUUUUCUCCAAUUGUGUGGGUUCUCUUCAUUAUUUUGAUAUUGUCCAUUGAUGCACAAAAGUUUUGAUGAAAUCCAGUUAUUUCUUUUGUUGCUCAUGCUUUUGGUGUCCAUUGCCAAAUCCAUUGUCCCUCUAAGAAUCCAUUGCCAAAUUGAAAGCCAUGAUGAUUUACCCCUAUAUAUUUUCUUUCAAGAGUUGUAUAGUUGUAAAAAGAAAAAAAAAGAGUUGUAUAGUUGUAGCUUUUAUAUUUAGGUUACUAAUCCACUUUGAGUAUAUAGUGUGUAUAUAUUUUUGUAUAUAGUGUGAGGUGGGGAUUCAGUUUCUUUUUUAAUAUUGUUUUGGCUAUUUGGGGCUCUUUACACUUUCAAAUAAAUUUGAGUUGGCUUUUCCAUUUCUGUAAAAAAGGCCUUUGUGAUUUUUGAGAAGGAUUACAUCAAAAUCCAUAGAUUGCUUUGGGGAGUUUUGACAUUUUAUAUUAAGUCUUCCUUGCUUUGCUUCGUGUUGACAUCUUAAUGAUAUUAAAACUUUCAACCAUAAGCCUGUAAUGUCUUUCCACUUAUUUAUAUCUUUAAUUUCUUCCAACAAUAUUUUAUAGGUUUCAGUGUACAUAGUUACCCUUUUGGCUAAAUUUAUUUCUACGUAUUUUAUUUUGGAUGCUGUUUUAAAUGUAAUCGUGGUUUUAAUUUCCUUUUUUGACUUUUCAUUGCUAGUGUAUAGAAAUUAUACAAAUUAUACAAAUUAUAGAAAUACAAAUGGUUUUUCUGUGUUGAUCUUGUACCCUGCACUUUGUUUAUUAUUUAUUAGCUCUAGUGAUUGCUGUGCAUGGAUUCUUUGGAUUUUCUAUUAAGGCAAACCUUAUUUUAUUGUACUUCAUUUUAUUGUGCUUUGCAGAUACAGGUUUUUUUUUGUUUGUUUGUUUGUUUUUUUACAUAUUGAAUGUCUAUGGCAACCCUACAUUGAGCAAGUCUAUUGGUGCCAUUUUUUUCUAACAGCAUUUGCUCACUUCGUGUCUCUGUGUUAUAUUUUGGUAAUUGUCGCAAUAUUUCAAAUGUUUUAUUAUUAUAUUUUUUAUGGUAAUCUGUGAUCAGUGAUUGCAACUCAAUGAAAGUUCAGAUAAUGGUUAGCAUUUUUUAACAAGAAAGUAUUUUUUAAUUAAGUCGUGUACUUUUUUGUAGACCUAAUGCUAUUGCACACUUAGUAGACUACAGUAUAGUAUAAACAUAACUUUUUUUAAGUUUAUUUAUUUUGAGAGAGAAAGCACAAGUGGGGGAGGAGCAGAGACAAGGAAAGAGAGAGAAACAGCAGGGGAGGGGCAGAGAGAGAGGGGAAGAGAGAGAAUCCCAAGCAGGCUCUACACUGUCAGCACAGAGCCUGAUUUGGGGCUCGAACCCACAAACCAUGAGAUCAUGACCUGAGCCGAAACCAAGAGUUGGACACUUAACUGACUGAGCCACCCAGGCAUCCCUAAACAUAACUUUUAUAUGCACUGGGAAACCAGAAAAUUAAUUUGACUUGCUUUAUUGUGAUAUUUACUUUAUUGCAAACUGACCUUCAAUAUCUCUAAUAUAUGCCUAUAUAAGAUCAUGUCAUCUGACAAUAGGGAUAGUUUUACUUCCUCCUUUCCAAAAUGGUGUUUGUUUAUUUUUCUUGCCUAUUGCUCUAGCUAAAACUUCUAAAUGGUGUUGAAUAGUAGUGGUGAAAGCCAGUAUCCUUGUGUUGUUCCUGGUCUUAGAAAGCUUUUAGUCUUUCACCACUGAAUGUGAUGUUAGCUACGGGUUUUUUCUAGCUACUCGUUAUGUUGAGCAAGUUCCUUCCUAUUCCUAGUUUCUGAGUAUUUUUAUCAUAAAGAGUGUGGAGUUUUGUCAAAUGUUUUUUCCUUAUCAAUUGAGAUGAUCAUGUAUUUUUUCCCCUUUGUUUAUUGAUAUGUAUUACACUGAUUGAUUUUCUUAUGUUGAAACGUCUUGCAUUCUUGGGAUGAAUCACACAUAGCCGGUAUAUAAUCCUUUCAGUAUGUUUUUGGAUUCAGUUUGCUAGAAUUUCGUUGAGGAUUUUUGCAUCUACAUAAGAGAUACUGGUUUGUACUAGUCUUGUAGUGUCUUUGCCUGGCUUUGGUAUCAGGAUGAUGUUGACCUCAUGUAAUUAAUUAGGAACUGUUCUUACUUUUAUUUUUUGGAGUGUCAACAAGACAGUGUUAACUCUUCUUUAAAGGUUUGAUAGAAGAGCACCUGGGUAGCCCGGUUGGUUGAGCAUCCCACUUCUGCUCAGGCUAUGAUCUUGAAGUUCGUGGGUUCGGGCCUUGAGUGAGCUGACAGCUCAGAGCCUGGCACCUGCUUCAGAUUCUGUGUCUCUCCCUCUCUCUGCCCCUCCUCCACUUGUGUACACACACAUGCGCACGUUCUCUCUCUCUCAAAAAUAGAUAAACAUUAAAAAAUGUUUAAAGAUUUGAUAGAAUUCACCUGUGAAUCUACUUUUCUUUACUGGGAGGCUUUUAAUUACUGAUUCAAUAUCUUGUUAGGUAUGUUGAGAUUUCCUAAUUCUUGAGUCAGUUUAGGCAAUUUGUAUGUUUCUAGGAGUUUGUCAACUUCAUCUUGGUUUUCUGAAUUGUUGGUUUACAGUUGUUCACAAUAUUCUUUUUCUGGCGUGCCUGGGUGGCUCACUUGGUUGAGCGUCCAACUCUUGGCUUCAGCUCAGGUCAUGAUUUUGAAGUUUGUGAGUUCAAGCCCCACGUUGGUCUCUGCGCUGACAGUGCAAGCCUGCUUGGGAUUCUGUCUCCCUCUCUAUCUGCCCCUCCCUCCCAAAAAGUAAAUAAAUAAACUUAUAAAAAUAAAAACAAAAAAACCCCACCAGAAUCUCCAUUUCUUUUAAGCCCAAAAAUAUUUUCUACUUUACUAUGAUUAAGCUGUUCAUUAACACUUUUCCAAGUGACUUCUUGCUUUGGGCAUUGUGCCUUGAACAAAUGGCUUUGACUUUAAGCUCCUAGAAGCCAAGCAUCACAUCCUAUGCAUCUUUGUAUCCCUAGCUCGUAGUAAGUUUUUGUUGGAUUGAGAACACAUUAGAAUAUCUAGAGGCCAACUGCCAAAUAAGCAUAAGCAUAGAACAUUUGUUUUUAUCUGCUUUAGGUAUAUAUGCAGAUUUUUAGAGAGUGAUGUAAAAGGAGGAUGCUGCUUUUUUGACAAAAUUUAGUGUGACAGAAAACACAAUUUGUUAACCUGUUUCUUAUUUCCAACUCUAUAGACCAUGGAAGAUCUUUGGAAUGUUAUGGUAAUAACACCUCAUUUAUUAUUUUUUUUAAUAGGUCAGCAGAUACAUAGAGAAUGUUCUAAAACCUCACCAGGAGAUGAAAUUGAGAAAACUGGAAGAGCGCUUUUAUCAGAUGACGGGUGAAACUUGGAAAUUAAGCAAUGGUCAUAAACUUGGGGUUAGAAAAUAGUCUCACUUUAUAUUUUGAAUUCUGCUACUACAUACAUACAUGCAAUAUAUGUAUAUGACAUAUAAUGUAUAAGUACAUAUAAUGUACAAGCAUAUUACAUAUUUGGGUUUUUAAAAUUUCGAAUGAUGUUAAACUGGUCUGGUUUUUAGGAAUCUUUAUUGCUAAUGAUUGUACAUAGAGCAUAUUUGUGUGUUGAAGGCUUAAGUGCUUUUGGUGCCCAAAGAGCAUAUAACCUAGAUGUUUGAGAAGCUCUAACAUAAAGUUGUCUUUGAGAAAACUGUUGACCAAUCACCAUAUUUUAUAUGAGGAAAUUCAGAUCUUUCCUUAAGAUCUCCAAGGUAUGACAAGCUCACAUUAUACUCAUUAUGUUUCGCUCUGUUUCUAUAAAGCCAAAUUAACCUUUGACUCUUUUUUCCUUUGGCAUUGAGUAUGAACUUUUGUCAUUUGCUAAUGGUAGUUUUCAGCUCAAAGUUUUUUUACAGAGGAAAAACGAUAUUCAUAAAGGAAUUAAGUUUUAGGGGUGGCUGCCUGGCUCAGUUGGUAGACCAUGCAACUCUUAAUCUCAGGGCCACAAGUUCAAGCUCCCCCAUGUUGGACCUGGAGCCUACCUAAAAAAAAAAAAAAAUUAAGUUUGAGAGUAACUAGUCAGAGAUUUUAUGUGUAAGAUCAUUUCUGUCCCAAAGACUUUUUGGGUUUUUUUGCUUUCUAUUUAUAUUGCAUCUUUUACUAUCCUAUAAAUAAAAUGAUCCAGUAAAGGUUAACAGGAUUCUUACUGUGAAGCUAGACUCCGUUGUUAUCCAUUUCAUAAUGGUAAAUAUGCAUCAAGGGUGGGUAAUGAAAUUAAUGCGAAAGAUGUGCAGCAUGAAAUGUGCCUGCUCUGUGGAGUGAUGUCACUUCGGAGAUGAGUUUGUCUUCUGUUCAGAAGCCUGACUUUAGCUGGCCACACCUUUUUCUCAAAUGGUCACAAAGUGAAUUAGUCAUUCUGCCCCUUGCUUUCAGGCUAUGUCUUCAUGACACUAGUAGCAUAUAUUUUAACCUAAUUAGUGGGGACAACAAGAAGUCAGGGACCAAGCAGACCACUGGCAUUGUUAUGACUUAAGGCUCUUAGGACUAUCAAGAAUGUGAGAAUCAGGGGGCACCUGGGUGGUUCAGUCAGUUAGGCCGACUUCGGCUCAAGUCAUGAUCUCACAGUUUGUGAGUUUGAGCCCCGCAUCUGGCUCUCUGGGCCUUUGUUCCCCUCUCUCUGCCCCUUCCCCACUGGUUUUCUCUCUAUCUCUCUCAAUAAUAAAUAAACUUAAAAAAAAAAUGUGAGAAUCAGAAUGUUAAUUGCUGAGAGAAAGCGUAGGCGGCAGCUGAUGGAGCCUGGUACUUUGCAGUCAGCCUGUUUGGCCAGUUAACUAUUGAGCAUCUAGAUCUCUUGGCUCCCAUUGCCCCUCCCCUUCCACCAGGUUUUCUUAGGAUAAAGGAAUAAAACAGCCCACCAAAAUGGUGGCCAUUUUAGUCUGAUAAAGAGAACUUUUACAAGUCAGUGGAUGUAGAAAAGGGUAUUUUUGAACUAGUAAGUAUGUAUCUGAGAAUUUGACAUUUAAGUUAAUUAUCUUGCUGAGGAAAAAGUUUUAAUGGAUAAUAUUAAUAAAAAGUAAUAUGGUUUCUGGAAUAAAUUCCUUUGCUUUCUAAAGUGAUUAAUUCAAAAGGAAGAUCAGAGUUUGAAUCUGAGAACUAAAAUAUAUGUAACAGGAUACUUCGGCCAUGUUCAACUAUGGAAGUAUUUCAUGGUUACAUACACAGACAUGUUUUUACAUACCUAUUCUCUUUUCACAGCUUUUUAAAGCAUAAUCCCUUGCACUGUCUUGCAUCCUUUAAUGAAAGGAGAAAAGGAUAUCAUUCAGGUUUUCUUAUUUCUUCCACCCUACUAAAAACUGUGGGGAUCAAUUAAAAUGGAAAGAUGCCUCUCAGCCUUGUGUCUAUCAGAGGGAGCCCUAGGGCUGGGUAAGAGUAGUUUCUACAGGAUGUUAAGCUCUAUGUUUUCUUCUCCAAGGAAAUAAUGCUUUAAAUUUCUGGACCUAAUAUUGACUAAGUUCUUUUUUUUUUUUUUUUUUUUUUAAGUAGACUCCACACCCAACGAGAGGCUUGAACUCACGACUCUGAGAUUAAGAGUUGCAUGCUCUGCCAAUAGAACCAGCCAGUAUUUUUUACUAAAUUUUUUUUAAUUAAAAAAAAUUAUUUUUAUGUUUUUAUUUUAUUUUUGAGAGAGAGUGACAGAGUGUGAGUUGGGGAGGGGCAGAGAGAGGGAGACACAGAAUCCAAAACAGGCUCCAGGCUCUGAGCUGUCAGCGCAGAGCCUGACAUGGGGCUCGAACUCACAGACUGCGAGAUUGUGACCUGAGCCUAAGGGACACCCAACCGACUGAGCCACCCAGGCACCCCUGAGUUGAGUUUUGUUUUGUUUUGUUUUUUUUAACUGAAAUGUCAUUUUUUACUGAAAUGCCGUCAGGGUAAAAGAAAGAGCCACUGUGAAUUGAAUGAAGUUUAUACUAGAGACUAUUUAGAAAUUGUCUGUUGUUUUUGACCAGGGUGAUGAAGAGUUGGUGCUUGAAAAUGGGAGUCAGACAUCUUUUGAAACAUCAAACAGCAGAGAAGCAGCAAAGAGACGGAACUUGCCUAAGCCUCUAACCAAAAUUUCACCAUCUGCUGAACAGCCCACGCAGAAGGAGGUUCAUUACUGAAUGCCUACUCAUGUAAUUGUAUCAGUGUGCAGUAGGAAUAUGGUUCUCUGGGCGAGGUGGUAUACUGAGUGAAGAUUAGGACUGGCUUUUAAUCCAGAUGGUGUCUUCCCACUACCUUAUAAAGGGAUCAGCUUCAUUAAAAACCACUUUGCUAUUUGAUACUAAUAUUAAUGUUCUGAACCACACUUAGAAGGAAGCUAUGAAGAUAAAUGACAGAUUUACAAAAUACUCCGUUCUUUUGAGGAAGUAAUUUUAUUAUGUAGAAAUGAAAAAUGUUUACUAAGGGAAAUAUUCCUACAGGUAACUAAGACAUGAUUAACCCAUAUUUAGUGAGAGGCUAAUAUUAUUAUUUUUUUAUUAAAAAAAUUUUUUUUAAGAUUUUAUUUUUAAGCAAUCUCUGCACCCAGCAUGGGGCUUUAACCCAUAACCCCUAGAUCAAGAGUUGCAUGCUCUACCAAUUGAGCCACCCAAGCCCCCGAGUGGCUAAUAUUAUUAACGUGGGUAAUAUUUUUCUCAGUAGCCCUUCCAGGGAAUGGGUUAGCAACCAUUCAUUUUGGAACAGUGCUGAGGUUCAUUAUUACUUCUGUUCUUUCAAAUUUUUAAUCCUUAAGUUGACCCUCAUUUGGAUCUGGCAAAGGUUGGAAAUAAAUCUCUUUGCCCUGACUCUUAAGGGAUGCUGGGAGGCCAUAUGUUCCCUGAACAUAGUUUCUAAUAUGUUGCCUCUUGGUCUGAGGUUUCUUAGCCCCAUAAUGGGGCCUGAGGGUGGCAGUCAAGUCAUUGAACUAUUUCUAGCAUUUCAAAAAGAUCUUAUGGACGUAUUAAAACUUCAGGAGUCUUAGCUUUUUGUUAAUAACAUGAAUCGUCUCAUGUUGUUGGUUAAUUUUGGUUGACUGUCAGGCUUUUGAUACCAAAGGAAAGUAAAUGGUUUAUUUGAUAAAAUGCAGUUAAUGUUGGCUAGAUACAAUGCUAGAAAACUGAGUCUGUGGUAUUAAAAAACAAAAAGCGUCCCUGAAGGUGAAAUUGUUGGUAACCCUGUUGAACGAGAGAAAAUGGUCUGAACACCUGGUUUUGUAAUAAACAGAAAUAAGGAAACAUCAGUAAAUCAUGAAGACAACCAAAGUGAAUGUUUCUUAUCCAGUCCCCUAGAAGUGCCAGUGAAGAAAGAUACACGUUUAAAAUGUGUAUACGUAUGAACCUAAAUAACUUUGGGGUCUGUUGAACUUAAUAUUUAUCCUCUGUGUCUUUAAAUAGUGUAUUUUUAUGUAGUGGCUUGGAAUAUCAUAAAAAUGAGAUUUUUAAAUAUGCAUAGAUUGGUAGCUAUCAUCCCACAUCCUGUUAUUAUCAUGUAUUUAGCACAGAAUGGCUUACCAAAAAUGUUUAAUUGAGCCCUUUCAUAUGGUACAUUUUUAUAAAUGUAUAUUAAAAGAUUUCAUUGGGGUGCCUGGGUGGCAGAGUCUGUUAAGCGUCAGACUCUUGUCUCAGCUCAGGUCAUGAUCUCACAGUUUGAGUUCAAUCCCCACAUAGGGCUCUGUGCUUAUGGUGUAGAGCCUGCUUGGGAUUCUGUCUCUCUUCCUCUGCCCUUGCCCCGCCUGUGUGUGUGCUCGCUCACUCUCCGUCUCUCUCAAAAUAAAUAAAUAAUUAAAGAAAAUUUUAAAAAUAAAUAAAAGAUUCCAUUAGGCUUAGAUGUGUCUAAACUCUAUAUUAAAAGGAACUCUUCUCACUGAGAUUUUUUUUUUUUUCUUCAAAAUGUUUACACUCUUCUUAGUAAUACUUAAUUUUCUUUAGGUUCUUGAUCUACCUGAAGAACCUCCUGAAACAGCUGACGAAGUAAGCUCAUUUUUUUCUUUGGAAAUUAAAUAUAUUUUGUUUUCUUUAACAUCAAGUGAGUAUGUCUUAUCUCAGUUUGGGUUUAGAAAAAGAAGAGAGUACGCAUGUUUAUGUGAUAGCCCUGUAAUUAGGUCUGUUUUGAACGUGGUGUAAUAGCAAACCUCUCAGCCUGUGUCCAGUUUUGGAGGCUGCCAUCCACCGAGUGGGUCUUUAGAGCCCCCCCACCCCAUCAGGCAGAGAUAUGAUACAUGGGCUUUUCCAAAACUUUAGGUCAGCAAAGGAGUUACUUGUUUUUUUCUAGAUUUUUUGUUUGUUUAUUUAUUUUGAGAGAGACGGAGAGCAAGCAGGAGAGGGACAGAGAGAGAUGGAGUCAGAGGUUCUGAAGAGGACUCUGUACUGACCACACCGAGCCUGACGUGGGGCUCAAACCCACGAACUGUGAGAUCAUGACCUGAGCCAAAUGCAGACACUUAACUGACUGAGCCACCCAGGAGCCCAGGGGUUACUUUUUACUAAAAAAUCAGGGACGCCUGGGUGGCUCAGUCAGUUNNNAGGGACCAACUCUUGAUUUUGACUCUAGUCACAAUCCCAGGGUUGGAUUGUGGGACUGAGCCCCUUGCAGGUUCCCUGAUGAGCCUGGAGCCUGCUUGAGAUUCUCUUUCUCCCUCUACCUCUCCCCUGCUUCUGCGCGAGCACACUCUCUCUCAAAGAUAGGCAGAUGACUUCAAGUUGUAGUUUUCCCCUUAACAAAGAGAAAAUGAAGCAUGCAGCUGCUGUGUAGAUGUUUGAAUUGAAGGAUGGUUUGCUGUUUUGGGGGGCAGGGUUCAAUUGAACUUCCACACUGCACUGAGCUUCCAUCUGCCCAGCUGCUGUGCCGCAUUCUGUGUUGCCUUCCUGUGGUUGCCCAGCAGAAUUUCAGACAGGUCUCUAAUGUACUGGGAGCAUGUGUCUUUAAAGCCAUGAAGUCCUUUAGGCAAAGGAAAGCCCUGAUGGUUUUCUAUUUCUUAGAGCUUGGCAACUAUUAUACUCCUUGAAAACCAGUCGUGAGUCUGCCACUGGGAGGGUCUUAAUUUUAUCAACACGCUUGCAACAUUUCAAUGGAAUACUUUGGCUGUCUGAGGAAAAUCCAGAAGUCAUGCAAAAAUAGAGAAAAUGAAACAUGCAAUCCAGAUACUGAUCCUGGAGGAGAAACACAAUUAAAAAAAAAAAAAGAGAGAGAGAGAAAAAAAACUUCUCAUUUCUUUCUGUUAUACCCAAAAAAUUCAUGUCUGUGAUAUGUCUGUCCUGACACACACCCUUCUACAUUCUCACACCCAUUUAUAAUACAAACGUAAUUAGAUAUAGCUCAGGUUUGACUGGGAGCACCUUUUUUACUCUGGUUUUAAAACACAUGACACUAGGGGUGUCUGGGUGGCUCAGUCAGUUGAAUGUCUGACUUCGGCUCAGGUCAUGAUCUUACAGUUCGUGAGUUGAACGAGCCCCACGUUGGGCUCUGUGCUGACAGCUCAGAGCCUGGAGCCUGUUUUGGAUUCUGUGUCUCUUGCUCUCUGCCCCUCCCCCACUCAUGCUCUGCCUCUCAAAAAUAAACCAAUGUUAAAAAAAAAAAAGUGUCAACUUUCCAAACAAACUCCCAUCUUCUUUCUUUUUUUUUUUAUUUUUUUAUUUUUUUUAUUUAUUUAUUUUUUUUAAUUUUUUUUUUUUCAACGUUUAUUUAUUUUUGGGACAGAGAGAGACAGAGCAUGAACGGGGGAGGGGCAGAGAGAGAGGGAGACACAGAAUCGGAAACAGGCUCCAGGCUCUGAGCCAUCAGCCCAGAGCCUGACGCGGGGCUCGAACUCACGGACCGCGAGAUCGUGACCUGGCUGAAGUCAGACGCUUAACCGACUGCGCCACCCAGGCGCCCCCCAUCUUCUUUCUGUCUGCAGCUAUUUUCAUUAUUGUAAACUACCUUUCAUUUUAAGGAGUCCCUGGGAAUUAAAUUUUGUUUAUUGCUGCUACUUUUUCUUUUUAAGAUUUUUUUUUUUUUUUAAAGUAAUCUCUACACCCAACUUGGGGCUUGAACUCACCACUCGGAGAUUAAGAUUCACACACUCCACUGACUGAGCCAGCCAGGUGCCCCUGCUGCCACUUUUAAUUUAGCUUUCAUUUAACAAUCUGUGUUUGGCAUUGUGAUUUACUUUCCAAUUUGGAUUGUGUCCCAUGUCUUUUACCCAUUCAUAUGUCAAUCCUCUAUGCUGUCAGUAAUAUUAGGAGAAACAGCACAACCAAUUUUCAUAGUAAUUGUAAUAACAAAACAGUUGCUAGAUUUUCAAACAAUGAUAGUUAAUUUCUCUUGAGUAUCUAAACAUAAUGGAAAAUAUUAACAUAUAUAUUAUAUAUAUAUAAUUUUUAUUUUGAGAGAGAGGGACAGAGAGGAAAAAGAGAAUCCCAAGCAAGCACUGUCAAACUGGAGCCUGCUUUGUGGCUGUGAGACCCUGACCUGAACUAAAAAAGUUAGAUGCUUAAAAAGAAACAAAAAAAAAAGUUAGAUGCUUAACCUACUGAACCAGCCAGGUGCCCCUUUAAUUCAGUAUAUUUGAAACCCUAGUUUCUCAUAAAGAAUUUGGCUUUAAUUCUGCUUUCAGAUCAUUAGCCUUUGAACAAAACCUCACUGCAAAAGUUAAAUUUUGUCAUUUCUAAAAAUAAGCAAAAUUGACUUUAAAUCUGUGAUUCAGCUGUUUUGUGAUUUUUUUCUGUGUUAUUAUAAAACUAUUCAUUAGUAGAAGUACAACAGAGCUCAGCAUUGCACUGAUUUGGAUAUGAAUCAAAUACCUUAUCUACUUGAAUGGAAAUAUUUUCUAACAUGGCUUUCCUGAAGGGGGUAGGUGCUGCUGUAAAACCGCCAUUUCUAUAUCUUAUGAUGCCUACAUAACUCCGAGGACAGUUAUGAUAAUGUUAGCCAUAAGAAAGGGUUUCCUGGAGCACCUGGGGUGGCUCAGUCGGUUAAGCAUCCGACUUUGGCUUGGGUUAUGAUCUCGCAGUUCGUGAGUUUGGGCCCUGCAUCAGGCUCUCUGUUGUCAGCUUGGAGCCAGUUUCAGAUCAUCUGUCCUCCUCUCUCUGCACCUUCCCCCACAUCUCUCCCAAAAUAAACAUUAACAUAGUAAUAAUAAUAAUAAUAAUAAUAAUAAUAAUAAUAAAUUUUAAAAAAGGAAGGGUUUCCUGACUGAUAAAUAAUGCCCAUCAGAAUAAAUUAUUAAUUCUUCAUCCUUUUUUUUUUAAUGUCUUAUAAUAUUAACUGGUAGUUUGCAAGGCCUUUUAGCUAUUUUACUGUUUUAUCAAAGGGGAACUGACGGGGAAACAAUACGUAAAGCAGAUGGAGCAGGAGCUCCUCCAGGAGAGGAGGUCUCUUAGAGUUUCCAGCAUCCAGGACCAACUCCACGCCUGUCUGUCACUUGCUUGGAGGACACAGGCAUGGCGCACAGCUUAUGAUGAUAGAGUAACUUGGGACACUUGUUUCCUUGCAACCCGGUGUUUUUCUUGUCUGUAGACUCUAAGGUGGACUGGAUCUUCUUGGUUUGGUAGAUGAAUUUUGAAGCCCCUGUGCAACCUUGAUAUUAUCUGGACAGACAGAUGCAUCUAGUCUCUGGUGUCCUUGCCAGAAGGCUGUGUCAUUGAUCUCAAUCAAGAGGAAGAUGUUCUCUUCCAUUUCAGAAGACAUUUUUAUGUUUCAGUUGAAUUUUAUCUGGACCUUCACGUUAAUCUGCUCUCAGAGCUAAAUGCCUAUAAAACCCCAUACAGGUUUUUAGAAUUACGGAUGUUUCAUAGGAGUAGUAUUUUGGAAUUGCAGAGCACGCUGGAUUGGAAUUCUUAUUUGAACAUUUUUAUUCCUCAGGUAGUUGCUGUUGCUCUCCGAUGUCCAAGUGGGAGGGUCCUGAAAAGAAGGUUUUUUAAGUCUUGCAGUUCACAGGUGAGGAAAUUCAUAUUUCGAGAAAUGUUUUUGUUGAAUUUGACAAUAGUUUUCUCCCAUGCAACCACUCCCUUGUCUGGUGCUCCCUUCAGGUAAGGGUAAAGGGCAUUUACACAUACUCUGUGUUGUGGAAAUUUGGAUAAUUAAGCAUGCUGGAUCUUUUUUCAGUUUUUUUUUUUUUCCCAGUUCUUUUCCUAUUUUUUAUUUGUUGUUUUUUAAUUAAUUACAUUUUCACAGCUUGGUAGAUAAUGUGCUUUCAUAUCCUUCAGAAGCAGACAGUAUUAACUUUGUUCCCAUUAUCCCUGAUAGAUUAUUAACUUAAGCCCUAUUGCUUAGAUGUAAUUUUCAGAUCAUUCUUUAGGGCUUAUUUCCUUUUGUUCCAAUGGAUUUUUUUUUCUCUUAAAAACAAUGCUGUGUUCAUUAGCAAUAAUUUGGAAAACAUAGAAGAGUAGAGAGGAAAAAAGGCUUGAUCUAUAGUCUAAUGCCAAGGUCAGUUGCUAAUAUUUUGGUGUAUUUCUACUUUUAAGUGCAUUUAAACAUAUAAUUAUGCACUGUAUUGAAAUAUAUCUAGUUUUCUAUCCUGAUUGCAUUUAACCUUCUGCGAUGAGCAUGCUAUGAACCAUAAUGGAAAAUACUGAUGGAUUCAACUGCAUAGAAAUGUAACAUUCUAUAAAGAAAAAAUUGUAAAGUUAAAGAAAUAUUUGGAGAAAAUAUUUUACAUCUAUGUAUGAUAGAGUCAUUUCUUUCUUGUUUUUAAAAAUUUUUUAACAUUCAUUUUUGAGAGAGAGAGAGAGAGAGUGUGUGUGUGUGUAUGUAGGGGAGGGGCAGAGAGAGACGGAGACACAGAAUCUGAAGCAGGUUCCAGGCUCCACGCUGUCAGGACAGGGCCUGACGUGGGGCUCGAAUCCAUGAACCAUGAGAUCAUGACCCGAGCCAAAGUUGGACGCUCAACUGACUAAGCCACCCAGGUACCCCUAGAGUAAUUUCUUUAUCAAGAGCUAAUAUACAAAUCAAGUAAAAGGUAAACACCUCAGUAGGAUGGCAGUUGGAAAAAAAAAAACACUUAGGAUUUCCUAAAGAAAAAUAAAAGUGACAAAUAAAAAUAGGGAAAAAAUAUUUGGCCUUACUUAGAAUCAAAGAAGUGUAAAUUAAAAUGGGACAUAAUUUUCUGCCUAUCAGAUUGUCAAAGAUUAAAAAGAAGAGUAACGUAGGCACCUGGGUGUCUCAGUUGGUUAAGGGGGCAACUCUUGAUCUCACGCCUCUUGAGUUUGAGCCCCACAUCAGUCUCUGUGCUGACAGCAUGGAGCCCACUUUGGAUCCUGUCUCCUUCUCUCUGCCUCUCUCCCACUUGCACUUUCCCAAAAAGUAAAUAAAUGUUAAAAAAAGAAAAAGAGUAAGCCAGUUGUGGCUAGUGUGUGGAGAAAAUGGUGAUUCUCAUUAACUGUUCCUAUGACUAUAAAUUUAUAAAUUGGGACACUGUUCCUAUGAGAUAAUUUACCCGUGUAACCUUUAAAAUAGAUCUUUUGUUUCAUUAAUUUCAUUUAUGAGAAUUUAUUCUAUAGAAAUAAGAUAAAUGAUCAAAGGUAUAAUGUGGGAAUUGGUUGAAUUAAGGUCUAUCCAAAUAUUGGAAAAUUAGGAAGCUUUAUGACUUAGAUGUACAUUUGUUACAUGGCAUAUCAGUAGGUUCUUGGAUGGUGGUUAGCAGGAGAAGUCAGAGAUUAUCUGUAGUUGAUAGUCCAGCUUCCUUCGAGAACAUUGUAGUAUCUAGGUUUCUUCCUAAAGCAGCACACUGUCCUUUGGCAGACAUUUUUAGGCAAUAGUAAGUGGACAUUUUGAUGGUUACUAUGGAAAUCCUCAUAACAGGAAAUGUUUUCAAUUUAUAGGGGUGGCCCAUUGACAAUUGGACUAUCCUAAGGCAGAGUCCCUAGGGCUUGGAUAGGUCUAUGGUGACAAAGUUCCUGAGUGAUUUUGAUGUGGACUAUUGGCUUAGGUUUUGAUCUAAAUAAUUUUUUUCCCAAGUGCUAAACUUUUGUUCUCAACUUUUCUUUUUUUUUUUUAAUUUUUUUUUUUCAACGUUUAUUUAUUUUUGGGACAGAGAGAGACAGAGCAUGAACGGGGGAGGGGCAGAGAGAGAGGGAGACACAGAAUCGGAAACAGGCUCCAGGCUCUGAGCCAUCAGCCCAGAGCCUGACGCGGGGCUCGAACUCCCAGACCGCGAGAUCGUGACCUGGCUGAAGUCGGACGCUUAACCGACUGCGCCACCCAGGCGCCCCUGUUCUCAACUUUUCUAUGUUGAAUAACCACCCCAUUCCUUGUGGUUGGGACUUUCCUAGUUGUUAAAUGCCUCUGCUCUCUAUAGAUGCCUAUAGUCCCUAGGCCUUCUCUGAAACUUCCAAAAGGUACUAAGGGUUAUUUGCAUCUCACAAUUCAUGGUAUGCUAUUUUCCUUUAAAUUCUAGAAGGUUUUGUUUUAUUACUCCUCAGGGCAUGAUUUAACAAUGAAGGAAUUGUAAAAUAUCAUGGUAAUCUAGAGGGAUACAACCGUGCACAGUAUUUGAUAACUAAACUUUUUGUCUUUUAGGUCUUAUUUCACUGGAUGAUGAAAAUCGGGUACCACAUAUCUCUAUACAGCCUUUCUACUUCCUUUCCCAGAAGGCCUCUGGAAGUAGAGGAAGGCUGGUCCCUGCAGGACAUUGGAAUAACUAUGGAUACUGUACUCAAUGUGGAAGAAAAAGACCAGAGCAACUAAUUAAGAAAUGAGAAUGACCUGUUUUACAUAAAAUCAGUUAUGCCAUGAUCUUACAGGACAUAAAGGUUUCACGUUAAAAUCAUGCCAUACCUUGAUUGAGCUCAAGGCAAUAAACACUUUAAUGUUGAUAUCCUCGGGAAUGUAUGGACACGAAGGAUUAGAAAAGGAUUGCUCUCUGCAUAUAAUAGUUUUUGGAAUGUGCCGUCAUAAUGUACCAUCUGAAAACUAGAUAAAAAUGUGUACAGUAAGGCACUCCAUGAUUUGUAUUUUUCCUAGCUGACAUCAUUUAUCACUGUGUUGAAAAACAAAAUCAUAUGACUUUGUUUCCUGCCUCUUCAGUCCACCUUGCCAUACUGAACAUUUCACAAUUCAGUCAAACUCUUUAAAAUCUAUUAGAUAGAAAUGUUUGUUCUGCUUUAUUUCUAGAAAUGAAACUUUAAAGACAUUUCAAAGGUCUCUAAUGCUUUACAGUUCUUUUUGAU